GCAAGGGCAAACCGCCGGAAACGGCGGGACGCAAAGCAAGGGGGCUAACGCGGGACACUCCGCCAUGCCAGCCCGGCCGCCA
rnacentral:ncRNA from 1 species